rnacentral:tRNA from 1 species
ACUCGCUUGGUGGAAUUGGUAGACACGACAGACUUAAAAUCUGUUUAUUUAUCGGUUCGAGUCCGAUAGCGAGUA